CGACAUGGCUCAAUUGGCAGAGCAGCUGAUUUGUAAUCAGCAGGUUGAGGGUUCGAGUCCCCCUGUCGG
rnacentral:tRNA from 1 species